UACAGAGGGUGCAAGCGUUGUUCGGAAUUAUUGGGCGUAAAGCGCGUGUAGGCGGCUUUGCAAGUCGGGUGUGAAAUCCCUCGGCUCAACUGAGGAAGUGCAUCCGAAACUGGCAGGCUUGAGUACUAAAGAGGGUCGCGGAAUUCCCGGUGUAGAGGUGAAAUUCGUAGAUAUCGGGAGGAACACCGGUGGCGAAGGCGGCGACCUGGGUAGAUACUGACGCUGAGGUGCGAAAGCGUGGGGAGCAAACAGG
rnacentral:rRNA from 1 species